GCCCAGAUGGUGAAAUCGGUAGACACAAGGGAUUUAAAAUCCCUCGGCGUUCGCGCUGUGCGGGUUCAAGUCCCGCUCUGGGCACCA
rnacentral:tRNA from 2 species